rnacentral:rRNA from 1 species
GACGAACGCUGGCGGCGUGCUUAACACAUGCAAGUCGAACGGAAAGGCCCUGCUUUUGUGGGGUGCUCGAGUGGCGAACGGGUGAGUAACACGUGAGUAACCUGCCCUUGACUUUGGGAUAACUUCAGGAAACUGGGGCUAAUACCGGAUAGGAGCUCCUGCUGCAUGGUGGGGGUUGGAAAGUUUCGGCGGUUGGGGAUGGACUCGCGGCUGAUCAGCUUGUUGGUGGGGUAGUGGCUUACCAAGGCUUUGACGGGUAGCCGGCCUGGGAGGGUGACCGGCGACAUUGGGACUGAGAUACGGCCCAGACUCCUACGGGAGGCAGCAGUGGGGAAUAUUGCACAGUGGGCGGAAGCCUGAUGCAGCAACGCCGCGUGCGGGAUGACGGCCUUCGGGUUGUAAACCGCUUUCGCCUGUGACGACGCGUGAGUGACGGUAAUGGGUAAAGAAGCACCGGCUAACUACGUG